rnacentral:rRNA from 1 species
CAGUAGCCGCGGUAAUACGAAGGGUGCAAGCGUUAAUCGGAAUUACUGGGCGUAAAGCGUGCGUAGGCGGUGAGUUAAGUCCGUUGUGAAAGCCCUGGGCUCAACCUGGGAAUUGCAGUGGAUACUGGGUCACUAGAGUGUGGUAGAGGAUAGUGGAAUUUCCGGUGUAGCAGUGAAAUGCGUAGAGAUCGGAAGGAACAUCUGUGGCGAAGGCGACUAUCUGGGCCAACACUGACACUGAGGCACGAAAGCGUGGGGAGCAAACAGGAUUAGAUACCCCAGUAGUCCCUGUCUCUUAUAC